rnacentral:lncRNA from 1 species
UGUAAGCCAUAUAAUGUUUCAAUUGGAUCUUAUACAUGUUACCCAUAUCAUAAUCUGCAUGCUAGUUUGGAAAAUUAGAUCAUACUAGGUGUGUGGAAGAUAUAAUGGGAGCACUAGCGUUGGGAUAAUUAAUUUUAAGAAUGUAGUUUAAUCUUUUUUAUUCGUUUGAUGUAUUUGUUUCCUUUUUCCGUAUGCAACAGGGUAAAUAUGCAGAAGCUUUGAUAAUAGAACCAUAAGAUUCAACUAGUAAAUCCCAUUAUUAUAAUGGACUGGUGAUGCUUGCAAGGUACUAUCUGAUCAUUUAUUUUCAUAUUGUUGCAGGUUUAUAGCUCUUUGUAGGUGUUUAAAUUACUGAUGCUUCAGUACUAGCAUAUUGAGCUUGAAUAUUGAGCUUUUUUAUUUGCUUCACCAGCCCCACAUGAUUCAUAAUUUUAUCUGCAACUACUUUCAGACUUUCCCAUUCAUUCUGAAAAUUGUAAAAAGAAAACCUUGUCAUAAAGAUGAAGACUCCAUCUGUUCUGUCUCGUCUCUAUUCAGUGAUAAAACUGAUCAGUCUGGAGUUGUUGAGAUACCCCAAUUUAUAGCUGAAACCAAAACAGAUACCAUUGCACCUUCAUUUCAUGUUGCUGUCACAGACAAAAGCUGUGUGGAAAUUCUGGUUAAAGGGAAAUGUGUCGAUUUUGUUUAUGGGUUUUGUUUUGUUUUUGUUGUUUAUCUUCUUUUA